UACGGAGGGUGCAAGCGUUAAUCGGAAUUACUGGGCGUAAAGCGCGCGUAGGCGGCUGGAUAAGUCGAUUGUGAAAGCCCCGGGCUCAACCUGGGAAUUGCAGUCGAGACUGUUCGGCUAGAGUGUGGGAGAGGGCAGUGGAAUUCCCGGUGUAGCGGUGAAAUGCGUAGAUAUCGGGAGGAACAUCAGUGGCGAAGGCGGGUCUCUGGGCAGUAACUGACGCUGAGGAGCGAAAGCGUGGGGAGCGAACAGG
rnacentral:rRNA from 1 species